rnacentral:rRNA from 1 species
UGCCAGCCGCCGCGGUAAUACGGGGGGUGCAAGCGUUGUCCGGAAUUACUGGGCGUAAAGGGCGUGUAGGCGGCCUGGUCAGUCAGAUGUGAAAGCCCACGGCUUAACCGUGGAACUGCAUUUGAAACUGCCAGGCUUGAGUGUGAGAUGGGGUAGCGGAAUUCCCAGUGUAGCGGUGAAAUGCGUAGAUAUUGGGAAGAACACCAGUAGCGAAGGCGGCUUUCUGGACCGAUACUGACGCUGAGACGCGAAAGCGUGGGGAGCAAACAGGAUUAGAUA